rnacentral:rRNA from 1 species
GAUGAACGCUAGCGGCAGGCCUAACACAUGCAAGUCGAGCGGAUGAGGAAAGCUUGCUUUUCGAUUCAGCGGCGGACGGGUGAGUAAUGCCUAGGAAUCUGCCUGUUAGUGGGGGAUAACUCGGGGAAACUCGGGCUAAUACCGCAUACGUCCUACGGGAGAAAGUGGGGGAUCUUCGGACCUCACGCUAACAGAUGAGCCAAGGUCGGAUUAGCUAGUAGGUGAGGUAAUGGCUCACCUAGGCGACGAUCCGUAAGUGGUCUGAGAGGAUGAUCAGUUACACUGGAACUGAGACACGGUCUAGACUCCUACGGGAGGCAGCAGUGGGGAAUAUUGGACAAUGGGCGAAAGCCUGAUCCAGCCAUGCCGCGUGUGUGAAGAAGGUCUUCGGAUUGUAAAGCACUUUAAGUUGGGAGGAAGGGUAUUCACCUAAUACGUGGGUACUUUGACGUUACCAACAGAAUAAGCACCGGCUAACUCUGUGCCAGCAGCCGCCGUAAGAC